CAGUCGCCGCGGGAAUACGUAGGGUGCAAGCGUUAAUCGGAAUUACUGGGCGUAAAGCGUGCGCAGGCGGUUCGUUAAGACAGAUGUGAAAUCCCCGGGCUUAACCUGGGAACUGCAUUUGUGACUGGCGGGCUAGAGUAUGGCAGAGGGGGGUAGAAUUCCACGUGUAGCAGUGAAAUGCGUAGGGAUGUGGAGGAAUACCGAUGGCGAAGGCAGCCCCCUGGGCCAAUACUGACGCUCAUGCACGAAAGCGUGGGGAGCAAACAGGAUUAGAUACCCGCGUAGUCCCUGUCUCUUAUAA
rnacentral:rRNA from 1 species